rnacentral:rRNA from 1 species
UACGUAGGGGGCGAGCGUUGUCCGGAAUCAUUGGGCGUAAAGCGCGCGUAGGCGGCUCGGCAAGUCGGGCGUGAAAUGCCGGGGCUCAACCCCGGGACUGCGUCCGAUACUUCCGAGCUGGAGGUAGGUAGGGGAGAUCGGAAUUCCUGGUGUAGCGGUGAAAUGCGCAGAUAUCAGGAGGAACACCGGUGGCGAAGGCGGAUCUCUGGGCCUGUUCUGACGCUGAGGCGCGAAAGCUAGGGGAGCGAACAGG